AAUCAACGCUGGCGGCGUGCCUAACACAUGCAAGUCGCACGAGAAAGGGGGAGCAAUCCCUGAGUAAAGUGGCGCACGGGUGAGUAACACGUGAAUCAUCUACCUCCGAGUGGGGAAUAACUGAGAGAAAUCUUAGCUAAUACCGCAUAACACUUACGAGUCAAAGCAGCAAUGCGCUUGGAGAGGAGUUCGCGGCCGAUUAGUUAGUUGGCGGGGUAAUGGCCCACCAAGACGAUGAUCGGUAUCCGGCCUGAGAGGGCGCACGGACACACUGGAACUGAAACACGGUCCAGACUCCUACGGGAGGCAGCAGUGGGGAAUUUUGCGCAAUGGGGGAAACCCUGACGCAGCAACGCCGCGUGGAGGAUGAAGUAUCUUGGUACGUAAACUCCUUUCGAUUGGGAAGAUAAUGACGGUACCAAUAGAAGAAGCCCCGGCUAACUUCGUGCCAGCCGCCGCAGUAAU
rnacentral:rRNA from 1 species